UUCGCAAUGCCCGAAAGGGUGACGAAGCGACGCCGCGUGCGGGAAGAAGGCCUUCGGGUUGUAAACCGCUGUCGGGAGUUAAGAAAUGUAAGGAUGUUAAUAGCAUCUUUGCUUGACUAAGGCUCCGGAGGAAGCCACGGCUAACUCUGUGCCAGCAGCCGCGGUAAUACAGAGGCGGCAAGCGUUGUUCGGAAUUAUUGGGCGUAAAGAGCACGUAGGCGGCUAUGUAAGUCGGUUGUGAAAGCCUUCCGCUCAACGGGAGAACAGCAUCCGAUACUGCAUGGCUUGAGUGCGGGAGGGGAGAGUGGAACUUCUGGUGGAGCGGUGAAAUGCGUAGAUAUCAGAAGGAACGCCGGCGGCGAAAGCGGCUCUCUGGCCCAUAACUGACGCUGAGUGUGCGAAAGCUAGGGGAGCAAACGGGAUUAGAUACCCCGGUAAUCCUAGCCGUAAACGAUGGGCACUAAGUAGAGGGGUUUU
rnacentral:rRNA from 1 species